CGUCUAUAUACGUAUAGCAUAUCAAUAAGCGGAGGAAAAGAAACUAACUAGGAUUCCCUCAGUAACGGCGAGUGAAGCGGGAAGAGCUCAAAUUUGAAAUCUUCAAGGUUUUACCUUGACGAAUUGUAGUUUAAAGAAGUGUUUUCUGUUGGAGUUUUGGUAAAAGUUCUUUGGAAAAGGACAUCAUAGAGGGUGAGAAUCCCGUAUUUGACCAUUAUCUCCAGCUUUGUGAUACACUUUCAAAGAGUCGGAUUGUUUGGGAAUGCAGUCCAAAAUGGGUGGUAAAUUUCAUCUAAAGCUAAAUACUGGCGAGAGACCGAUAGCGAACAAGUACCGUGAGGGAAAGAUGAAAAGAACUUGAAAAGAGAGUUAAACAGUACGUGAAAUUGUCAAAAGGGAAGCGUUUGACACCAGUGUUGUUUUUCCGAAAAUCAAUUACGAAUGUUUUGUUUUUGAGGAGUUAUGACUUCAUCGGCUUGCUCCUUUCUUUAUGAAACUUUCUUAAUGCACUUUUCGGUUAACAAGUCAACAUCAAUUUCUUUUGUUGUAAAAGGGUAUGAGGAAGGUGGCUUUCUUUUCGGAGAAAGUGUUUAUAGCCCUAUACUUCUACAAUCGGAGAGAUUGAGGUCUGCAGCGUAGAUCCUUCGGGGUUAGAUACAUUUGUGCUAAGUUAUAGCUUUUCAUAGACAACUUGUUGACUAUGCUUAGUCUUGUAGCUUACUCGCUUAUGCUAUUUUACCUACGCUUAGGAUGUUGACUGAUAUGUAGUCGUA
rnacentral:rRNA from 1 species